rnacentral:rRNA from 1 species
UACGGAGGGUGCAAGCGUUAUCCGGAUUCACUGGGCUUAAAGGGUGCGUAGGCGGACAGGUAAGUCAGUGGUGAAAUCUCUGGGCUUAACUCAGAAACUGCCGUUGAUACUAUUUGUCUUGAAUGUCAUGGAGGUAAGCGGAAUAUGUCAUGUAGCGGUCAAAUGCUUAGAUAUGACAUAGAACACCGAUAGCGAAGGCAGCUUACUACAUGAAGAUUGACGCUGAGGCACGAAAGCGUGGGGAGCAAACAGG